rnacentral:rRNA from 1 species
UACGUAGGGUGCGAGCGUUAAUCGGAAUUACUGGGCGUAAAGCGUGCGCAGGCGGUUUUGUAAGCCAGGUGUGAAAUCCCCGGGCUCAACCUGGGAAUGGCAUUUGGGACUGCAAGGCUGGAGUGCGGCAGAGGAGACUGGAAUUCCUGGUGUAGCAGUGAAAUGCGUAGAUAUCAGGAGGAACACCGAUGGCGAAGGCAGGUCUCUGGGCCGUUACUGACGCUGAGGAGCGAAAGCGUGGGGAGCGAACAGG